GAUGAACGCUGGCGGCGUGCCUAAUACAUGCAAGUCGAGCGAACGGACGAGAAGCUUGCUUCUCUGAUGUUAGCGGCGGACGGGUGAGUAACACGUGGAUAACCUACCUAUAAGACUGGGAUAACUUCGGGAAACCGGAGCUAAUACCGGAUAAUAUUUUGAACCGCAUGGUUCAAAAGUGAAAGACGGUCUUGCUGUCACUUAUAGAUGGAUCCGCGCUGCAUUAGCUAGUUGGUAAGGUAACGGCUUACCAAGGCAACGAUGCAUAGCCGACCUGAGAGGGUGAUCGGCCACACUGGAACUGAGACACGGUCCAGACUCCUACGGGAGGCAGCAGUAGGGAAUCUUCCGCAAUGGGCGAAAGCCUGACGCAGCAACGCCGCGUGAGUGAUGAAGGUCUUCGGAUCGUAAAACCCUGUUAUUAGGGAAGAACAUCUGUGUAAGUAACUGUGCACAUCUUGACGGUACCUAAUCAGAAAGCCACGGCUAACUACGUG
rnacentral:rRNA from 1 species